rnacentral:RNase_P_RNA from 1 species
GAAGCAAGCCAGACCGCCGCUGGCGCGAUCGUGGAAACACGGCGCUGGAGGAAGGUCCGGACUGCACAGAGCGGCGUAGCAGUUAACGGCUGCCCGGCGCAAGCCGAGGAUCAGAGCAACAGAGACGAGUCUGGGCAAGAGCGAUCUUUCCCAGGGUGAAACGGGCAAUCUCUACGCGCAGCAACACCAAGUAGGCCGACGUUGACGUGGUCUCGCGGAGUCGGCGGGUAGGUGGCACCGAGCCGGGUGGGCGACCCCCGGCCCAGAGGAAUGGCGGUCACGGCGGGGAAACUUGCCGCACAGAAUCCGGCCUAUCGGCUUGCUUCACAA